GACGAACGCUGGCGGCGUGCUAAACACAUGCAAGUCGAACGGUAAGGCCCUUCGGGGUACACGAGUGGCGAACGGGUGAGUAACACGUGGGUGAUCUGCCCUGCACUUCGGGAUAAGCCUGGGAAACUGGGUCUAAUACCGGAUAGGACUCCGGACUGCAUGGUCUGGGGUGGAAAGCUUUUGCGGUGUGGGAUGGGCCCGCGGCCUAUCAGCUUGUUGGUGGGGUGAUGGCCUACCAAGGCGACGACGGGUAGCCGGCCUGAGAGGGUGACCGGCCACACUGGGACUGGGAUACGGCCCAGACUCCUACGGGAGGCAGCAGUGGGGAAUAUUGCACAAUGGGCGCAAGCCUGAUGCAGCGACGCCGCGUGAGGGAUGACGGCCUUCGGGUUGUAAACCUCUUUCAGCAUUGACGAAGCGAAAGUGACGGUAGGUGCAGAAGAAGGACCGGCCAACUACGUGCCAGCCGCCGCGGUAA
rnacentral:rRNA from 1 species